rnacentral:lncRNA from 1 species
CACUAGCCAUCCCCAUUAUGAAUAUGGGGAGGGGCGGCACAUGCCAAUGCAGACCACAAUUAUUUUCAUAGGUGAUGUGCACAUCAAGGUCAUAUGCAAGGGGGCAACACCAUAUUAAUAUUUUUUUAGAAAAGACUUUCUGCAAUUUGGGAUUUUCUCAUUUGGCUUACCAAGGAUUUUCAUAUAGACUAUAGAUGAAGUGGAUCUUAAUAUGAGGUAAAUAUCCAUGGA